UGAUCUUCCAUCGGGUUUUUGCCUUGAUUCGUCGUGGAGGCCUGGGAUAAUGUUUGAUCUUGUUCAUGUAGAGAGAACAUUCUUCUAUAUGUCCAAAGGAUUGUAUUCAAUUCUUUCAUGUAUGUUGUACGUUGGACUUGGUUCCAGUUCUUAUAGCGGUCAGAAAUCAGAAUGGUAUAAAGACUGUUCAUUUGUUAAGGGGCAUAGCUGGAGUUUGGCUUUGGUUUGGUGUAAUCAAUGUUCAUGGGUUGGACAAAACUUGAUAAUAUGUAUAUACAGAUGAUUAAACAGUUU